GAUGAACGCUGGCGGCGUGCCUAAUACAUGCAAGUCGAGCGAACAGAUGAGGAGCUUGCUCCUCUGACGUUAGCGGCGGACGGGUGAGUAACACGUGGAUAACCUACCUAUAAGACUGGGAUAACUUCGGGAAACCGGAGCUAAUACCGGAUAAUAUAUUGAACCGCAUGGUUCAAUAGUGAAAGACGGUUCUGCUGUCACUUAUAGAUGGAUCCGCGCCGCAUUAGCUAGUUGGUAAGGUAACGGCUUACCAAGGCAACGAUGCGUAGCCGACCUGAGAGGGUGAUCGGCCACACUGGAACUGAGACACGGUCCAGACUCCGACGGGAGGCAGCAGUAGGGAAUCUUCCGCAAUGGGCGAAAGCCUGACGGAGCAACGCCGCGUGAGUGAUGAAGGUCUUCGGAUCGUAAAACUCUGUUAUUAGGGAAGAACAAAUGUGUAAGUAACUAUGCACGUCUUGACGGGACCUAAUCAGAAAGCCACGGCGAACUACGU
rnacentral:rRNA from 1 species